CACGUAGGCACCAAGCGUUGUCCGGAUUUAUUGGGCGUAAAGAGCUCGUAGGCGGUUCAGUAAGUCGGGUGUGAAAACUCUGGGCUUAACCCAGAGCCGCCACCCGAUACUGCUGUGACUAGAGUCCGGUAGGGGAGUGGGGAAUUCCUAGUGUAGCGGUGAAAUGCGCAGAUAUUAGGAGGAACACCGGUGGCGAAGGCGCCACUCUGGGCCGGAACUGACGCUGAGGAGCGAGAGCGUGGGUAGCAAACAGG
rnacentral:rRNA from 1 species